AGCGAUAUGUUAUCAGCCAUACAAGAUACAACCAAGCACCAAUGUUUGUGAAUUCUACUGCGACGCCGUGCGCGCGAAUACCGCACAGCAACACACUGUUAUGAUCCCUCGAUUUACCUGCUAAUUGGAUAUACCAGCCUCAUUAGCAAUCCUCUGCCGUAUAUUUUUGAACAUUUUCCCAAAAAAUUGGUAUUUAUUGUAUGUAAAUAAGAGCACAGUCGUUUAAGUCAAUUUAAAUAUGUUAUCAUAUUGCUGUCUGGAUGUGUUCUACGGGCAUUUUUAUAUAGCAGCAAAUUAUGUCGCUUGUGCUAUGUAAGGCUCUGCAGUAACGCCGUCCUUCCUCUGGAAUGAUGAGCACGGGGCGGGCGCUGCAGGACGUGGACCGGGGCUGGGCGUGGGUGGUGCUGUUUGGCGGCUGCCUGACGCAGGCCAUCGGCGACGGACUGCGCCAGACAUCCGGCAUCUUAUUCUCCGAAUUCAUCGAUAAUCUCGGGCUGACACGCCCGCAGGCGGCCGCCGUCAUCGCCGUUUUCAAUGGCAUGUUCAUGAUACCAGCACCGCUUGUAAGUCUUGUGGCGCAUAAAGUUGGACUCCGUGUUACAACUGUCGCCGGGGCUAUUCUCUGCGCUGCCGGUUAUCUCGGCAGUUCCUUCUGUCAUUCGUUUUGGCCGCUGCUAAUUACGUUCGGAGCUAUGAAUGGUUUGGGCAACUGCAUGGUGUACAUCCCGACGCUGGCGACGCUUCCACUGUGGUUCAACAAGUACCGCCAGCUGACGGCGGCCAUCAACAUGACCUGCGGCGCUCUGGGCAUCUUCAUCCUAGCGCCGCUGCUGCAGGCGCUGAUCGAUUCGUACACCUGGCGCGGCGCGGUCCUCGUGGUGGCCGGCAUCGUGCUACAGGGGGCGCCCAGCGGCAUGACCUUCUUCCCGGCGAAACUGCCGGAAACCGCCAACCAGAAGAUGGCCAGUGUCGUUUCUGCGCGCAAUGUCCUGCUGAAAAACCUGGCCUAUUGGUUGCAUGUAGUGCAUGGUUUCCUUAUUUUUGGUGUUCCGCUCUUCCUCAUCUUCAUCGUGCGGCAUGUGGUGAAGCACCGCGGUUUUACCCCGCAGGAGGCGGCCAUGCUGGUCAGUGCCGUGGGUAUCUCCAACUUUUUCGGCCGCUUCAGCGCCGUGGCCAUCACGAUGAACCGCUUCACCCGCGGCAAGAACGUGCGGAUGGCCGCUUUUAACGCAUCCUCCCUUGGAGCGGCCGUGUCGAUCCUGUGUAUCCCGUUGAUCGGCGGCUUCUACGAGACCGUCGUGGUCUGCAUCGUGGCCGGCUUCUUACAGGGCUGCAAACUCGGUACCAUGCUCGGCGUCACUAUGGAUAUCACCACGCCGGCACUCUUCCAGACCGGCUAUGGUAUCUUUCACGGAGUCGCUGGCAUAUCUAUCCUUAUUUUUCCGCCUUUUGCCGGUUACCUGGCGGAAAGAGCCGGCAACUACAAUGCCUGUUUCUACUUGUCGGCCGUUGCUCUCUUCCUCUCCUUCCUCGUCGGGAUGGCCGUGCAUUAUUUAAUGUACCAAAAAGACAAGUUGCGCCAGACUUUUGAGGAGGGAACGGCCGCCGCCGGUGAUUCGCCGAAGGAAGCGGAAACCGGCAAAUUGUAAUCAAUAGCGUGCGACGAAUGCGGAAUGACAGACCUGCACGCGUAGAGAGCCCAGUUUCUCAUUGUUUUUACGCUUAUAAAUGCACACCGUCUCGGAGAAGACAAAGAGCGCACCAAUUAAUAAAGCGUCCGAUGUCUGGCUUAUUUACUUCGGAUGACGCGGAUCUACGUUUGACCAAUGCUGUUGUUUCUCAGCUGUUGUAGCCAAUGGCUAGCUAAAACAUCCUUGUUGGUUUCACGCCUACUAGAUGCCUGCGCGCAUCUCGAAGUCUAUAUAAGGCCAGCGGAAUGUGUCAGUCGAAUGAACUUGGAGAUUUCUCGAUUCUGUUCGGUUAUCUCACAGGUUUUCCUAUAAAUCGCUGUUACUCGUAGUUGUUCUCG